UGCAGUCGAGGGGUAACAUGAAGUGCUUGCACUUCGAUGACGACCGGCGCACGGGUGCGCACCGCGUAUGGAACCUACCUUUUACAGGGGAAUAGCCCAGGGAAACUUGGAUUAAUGCCCCGUAGUACCUUUUGUAGCAUUACAAGACGGUUAAAGGCUUCGGCCGGUAGAAGAUGGCCAUGCGUCCCAUUAGUUAGUUGGUAAGGUAACGGCUUACCAAGACGGCGAUGGGUAGGGGCCCUGAGAGGGGGAUCCCCCACACUGGUACUGAGACACGGACCAGACUCCUACGGGAGGCAGCAGUGAGGAAUAUUGGACAAUGGAGGAGACUCUGAUCCAGCCAUGCCGCGUGCAGGAAGAAUGCCCUAUGGGUAGUAAACUGCUUUUAUACGGGAAGAAAAAGGGGUACGUGUACCCCACUGACGGUACCGUAAGAAUAAGGAUCGGCUAACUCCGUGCCAGCAGCCGCGGUAAUACGGAGGGUCCGAGCGUUAUCCGGAAUUAUUGGGUUUAAAGGGUCCGUAGGCGGGCGAUUAAGUCAGUGGUGAAAGUCUGCAGCUCAACUGUAGAACUGCCUUUGAUACUGAUCGUCUUGAGUUAUAGUGAAGUUGCCGGAAUAUGUAGUGUAGCGGUGAAAUGCAUAGAUAUUACAUAGAACACCGAUUGCGAAGGCAGGUGACUAACUAUAUACUGACGCUGAUGGACGAAAGCGUGGGGAGCGAACAGGAUUAGAUACCCUGGUAGUCCACGCCGUAAACGAUGGAUACUAGCUGUCCGGGAUGCAGUCGAGUGCAGUCGAGUGCAGUCGAGAUAAGUAU
rnacentral:rRNA from 1 species